UACGGAGGGGGCUAGCGUUGUUCGGAAUUACUGGGCGUAAAGCGCACGUAGGCGGCUUUGUAAGUUAGAGGUGAAAGCCCGGGGCUCAACUCCGGAAUUGCCUUUGAGACUGCAUCGCUAGAAUUGUGGAGAGGUGAGUGGAAUUCCGAGUGUAGAGGUGAAAUUCGUAGAUAUUCGGAAGAACACCAGUGGCGAAGGCGACUCACUGGACACAUAUUGACGCUGAGGUGCGAAAGCGUGGGGAGCAAACAGG
rnacentral:rRNA from 1 species